rnacentral:rRNA from 1 species
CAGCAGCCGCGGGAAUACAGAGGGUGCGAGCGUUAAUAGGAUUUACUGGGCGUAAAGCGUGCGUAGGCGGCUUCUUAAGUCGGAUGUGAAAUCCCUGAGCUUAACUUAGGAAUUGCAUUCGAUACUGGGAAGCUAGAGUAUGGGAGAGGAUGGUAGAAUUCCAGGUGUAGCGGUGAAAUGCGUAGAGAUCUGGAGGAAUACCGAUGGCGAAGGCAGCCAUCUGGCCUAAUACUGACGCUGAGGUACGAAAGCAUGGGGAGCAAACAGGAUUAGAUACCCGCGUAGUCCCUGUCUCUUAUAC